AGAUUGAACGCUGGCGGCAGGCCUAACACAUGCAAGUCGAGCGGUAGAGAGGUGCUUGCACCUCUUGAGAGCGGCGGACGGGUGAGUAAUGCCUAGGAAUCUGCCUAGUGGUGGGGGAUAACGUUCGGAAACGGACGCUAAUACCGCAUACGUCCUACGGGAGAAAGCGGGGGACCUUCGGGCCUCGCGCCAUUAGAUGAGCCUAGGUCGGAUUAGCUAGUUGGUGAGGUAAU
rnacentral:rRNA from 1 species